GACUUUCAGGCAAAGGGAACAAAAAGUGCAGUGGCCUUCAGGUAGGAUGAACUUGGCAUCCCAGAAAUAGAAAAGGCUCUUGUGGCUAGAGAAUUAUCUGCAAGGAGUAAAGAGUAGAAGAAGGGCAUUCAGAGGCUUGAUUGCAUCAUGGUGAGAAGUUCAGAGGUUUUUUUUUUUGUUUGCUUGUUUAUUUUCCUAUGUGCAGCCGAAAGCCACUGAAGAGAUUUAAGCAGAUAUGAAUUACAUUUUUUGAAAAACACUCCAGCUGCUCAAUGGAGAAUGGAUUCUGUGAAGGCUUGAAUAAGAGUGACAGUACUAGAGAUGGUAAGAAGUGGGUUGAUUCAGCAUGCAUUUUUGUAUCUUGGGGAGAGAACUGGCAGAACUUGUUGACGGAUUUGGUGUCAGGGAAAAGAAAAGGGAAAUCCAAAGUGGGUGCUAGGCUUUUGGCUUGGGCAACUAGAUGGAUGGUAAUGUUCUUCACUGAAUUAUGAAGACUGAUGGAAGGAGUAGUUUUAGGGAGGAAGACGGUUUGGAAUCGAUCGUGUCAAGUGUGAGAUGUCAGCAGUCUUAGUGAGGAAGUCAGAGGGACAGUCAGAUAUAUAUUUGGGAAUCACCAGAUUAUAAAUGUUGCUUAAAGACAAGGGCCUGGGUGGGAUUGCUUGGGGGGCCUAAGACCGAGCUCUGGGCACUGUAAUAUUAGAUAAUCUAGCUGGGCAGCAAUGGGCAAAGGAAACUGGGGAGAAGUCAGUUAAGUCAGAGAAAUGCUGUAUUAUUUUUAAAGUGUGGGAUUUUUUUUUUUAUUUUUUUUGAGACAGAGUCUCACUCUGUUGCCCAGGCUGGAGUGGAGUGCAGUGAUACCAUUAUGGCUAACUUCAGCCUUGACCUCCUGGGCUCAAGCGAUCCUCCUGCCUCAGCCUCCCAAGUGGUUAAGACCACAGGUGCAUGCUGCCAUGCCUGUCUAAUUUUUGUUUUUUGGGCAUGGAAAGAGGAGGUGGGACUAACAGAGCAGUGAAUCACUCCACACAAAACAGCAAAACAGGAGGGAACUGAGUUAUUUGUUGGCAGCUCAAGAUACUGGAGAAGAUGACGGGCCAGGAAGUUGAAAGAAGGUGAGAGGUUGAGGAGAGAAGAGGGGAGCUGGGGAGAAGCUCUGGCCACGUGAAAACCGGUAGAGCCUCCAGAAGACUGCAGCCAAGGAGGAAUUCCUUGUGGCAAGGAAUGUCUGAUGUUGAAUGUUAGAUGGUUUUCUGCGCUGUGCUGGGAUGAUACAACUUGACUCAACUCUUCAGUUGAUUGUUCCCUACUAACAGCACCCUGGGGUUAGUGUUGCUUUGGUUGAAAGGAAGCAUGAAAAAGUUCUUCUAUGAUUUCAUUUUUUU
rnacentral:lncRNA from 10 species